GUCUACGGCCAUACCACCCUGAACGCGCCCGAUCUCGUCUGAUCUCGGAAGCUAAGCAGGGUCGGGCCUGGUUAGUACUUGGAUGGGAAAAUGAAAAGCUUAACUACAGUUC
ensembl:rRNA 5S_rRNA 5S ribosomal RNA